UCAUGUUCCAACUUAAUUUGUAAGAGGAUAGACAAUAGUCAUAAGUCAGAACAGAAAAUAAGUACACUCAUGUUGAACUUUUAUUUGUGAAAUUAUAUUACACAAUAGGGGGAGGAAAGAAAAGCCAGCCACCGAUGACUUAAGAUCAACAUGUCUAGCAAGCUUAAAUUUUGCAGCUACACAGCCCAGAACUCAACUAGCCUUUUUCACCGAUGUGAGUGAACCAGAUGAGAAACUCACAGAAUCGUACUUUUGGAAAAUGUAAGCCACAAUCAAAGAAGCAGUUAGAGUAACCAUAUCUUUAGCAGCACAUUGCUUGUUUGAUUCAGUAGGUCUCCCAGUUUGUGGACCAUUAGACCAAAACAGAUAAUUCAGCAAUUCUUUCCCUUUUUCCUUUGUAAAUCUCUCCAACACAAACUUUUCAGGUUCAUCAAACACCUUUGGAUCUUUCAUAACUAAAGGCUGAUAACCACAAAGAAGUUCCCCUUUCUUGAUUUCGUAAACUGAAUCAUGUGAACUCAGUUUAAAAUCUUUUCUUGCUCUUGCAUAUUGACUUGGUACUGGUGGACUAAGCCUAAGUGUUUCAUAAACAAAAGACUGAACAAGUUCCAUUUCUUUAACACUUUCAAAACUCAAGUUUUCUGGAUUUACGCCGACUUUGUCUCUCACUUCUUUUCUCAGUUUCUCUUGCAUAUCCGCGUUUUUCUCAUCUCCAAGAUUUCCCAAAAGAGUUGGCAAGAAAAUGGAGAAGCCACCAAAAGCAUUGAACCCAAGAAUGAACAAAAGGUUAUGAAUGGCUUCUUGUUCUGUGAGUUGAAACUCUGUUUGUGCCCUGCUUAAAACUUCCUUGGCUUCAUUUUUGACGAAUUGAACGAGUUUUUCAUAAUUACCUUUGACAAGAAAAAAAGGGUAUGCAAAAGAAUGGACUAAAAUUUCUUCAAGAGGUUGAAGGACACCAAUGCUGACAGUAGGUGCUAAUUGAAUAGCUAGCCAUGAAUCAAGAAAGAUGUAGCCAGAAUUGGCGAUUUCCGGGGAGACAGAUGGAUCAGCGCCGAGGAUAGUGAGGGAGAAGAAGUUAAAGAGGAAUUUUUGGAGUGCAGGAAGAAGAGAAGCUGUAUUGGAUUUUGAAAGAUCUGCUUCAAAAGUUGUAAACAUUGUAUCAAGCUCUUUAAGUAGUGUAGGCACCCAUGUUUUUGAGCCUCUUUUUAGAAUAUCCUGUGAAAAAUUCUUAAUCUGGGCAUGUUUAGGUUCAGAAGUAUCGAGAUAAGCACAAACACGCAUAUCUCCAGUAUAAACAACACUGGGCAUGAAAUCCCCAACAAGCACAUUAGCUUUCUCUACAAUCUCCAUAUCAAACAGAUGCGAAAACGAUUUCACAUCUAAAACCGCCACCACAUUUGGAUUCACACUACCGAAAAACGGAAAACACGGCGGCACGUUCGUUCUGAAAACCGUGCUCUUGUGCUUUUCCAUUCUCUUGGUGAAGAAGUUUUCCGGUUUUUGGAACCAGAAGUAGUCUAAUCGAUCCGCGAUUGGCCCUACUAACGGCAAUCCGUAGCUGCCCGGAAUCGAACGGACGGGCAGAGUAACCGGCGCCGGAGUUGAUAGAGGAGCAGAAUUCAUUAUCGGUAUCAUUUUAUUUUUUUCGAUCUGCUAAGGGGAUACGAUUGCUUGAGGGGAAUAAAUACGCCGUGUGUCUAUUGUAACGUUUGAUUCAGAAAUUUCAUAGCUCUUGUGUGGAUGUGCUUAUCACUAUGAAACCUAGAAAAUACUAUUUGGAGAGUGAGAUUGGUGAAAAAGGAGAGUUUGAG
rnacentral:misc_RNA from 1 species